AAACCUAGGGAAAACACUGCAAACUUCAUAUAUUACUCAUAUGUUACGCUCAUACUGUGAAGGCUCAGUUUUAGAAAUGACAGCAUGGUAUGUCCAACAUCACAGUGUCGUUCGGCUCUUGGCUACAAAAACAUGAAAUCGGUUAAACACACAUAUUCACUUCAGUGGUGUGUACACACACAGGAGAGUUCAGGAUCUUCCCGUGUAAAUCAGCAGCAUCAGCCAUACAGCCCUCCAUUUAACACACAUGCUAUUGUCCUCUGCUGCACUCUGAUAAAAGGCACACAGAGUGAUACUAGGAUGGAGUCCCAACGGCAACAAUGACCCUGCUUGCUCUGCUGCUGCAAUGAAACACAUUCAGAUAUAUUGUCGCUGCAUCCAGUUCUAAACGCUGAUGGAGCUUUCCAGACACAACUGCACACUGUGCUGCGCUGUUGGUCGGACCAUCGCCAUGCAGGGCCGUUAGAGAUGUGGAGACACUAGUGUACAAACCACUAUUACUUGAUAAAUGAAUGUUGUCACACUGAAGUUGCUUGCACUGUUUCAUGUUCAUAUUGACAGAAUACACUUGGGAUCUUGGACUGUUGAUAGGACCACACAGGACAUUUUAGGAUCUUUAUCUUUGUACAUCUUAGAAUAAAUGAAUGUUAAAAAAGACAAAUUAUAUUAGAUGUUAAUUGCUGCCUUUGACCCCCCCCCAAAAAAACAACUGGAUAUAACUUGGUUAAGUCAUGGAUUUUUAGCCACGUAUGCCAUCUAUGUAAACUACAUCCCAGCUACAGAGCAACAAAUAGUUCUGCUUUGUUACAGCUUCCUCCCCUGCAGUGUAGCAAUGUAACACAUACAUCUGCUCACUUGAAAAACACCUGAGUAAAAUGUACACAAAUAUUGCUUUGAAACCAGAAUCAGCAGUGCUGUAAAUGUCAGAGCACGACCAUGAUACCGUGGUAAUAUAAUGCCUGCUAUGAGGUUGAGCUCAUUACCAUUACCAUCUUUUUUUUUUUCAUCCUCUAAUUUCACCUCAACAACCACAGCUCUCCAUCAACAACCAGAUUAUGGUACUGGUAACUAACAGUAAGUUCUAACCUGCUCCACUUUGACCUGAGGUCAAGUGUUUGAUCAUCCAAACACAACAUUUCUGUCAAUUUUUCACAACACGCACACACGCACGCACGCACGCACGCACAUAUAGCGCUCAGUAUCCCAACUGUGCUGGUUCUAAACUCCCUUGACACCAACCUGUAGGGGGCAACAGAUUCCACGUGGCCUCAGGGUUAGACCUGAAGCUUUCCCAGCUAGUAGACGUGCACACCUCCAACCCACACAUAUAGCAUGAUGCAGCACGCAAAACAUUACAGCAUUGCAAUAUACUUCUUCCAGUACAAGAUCAUAAUGAAUUACAAACAGGUUACAAAAUACACCAGAUGUUAAAACUAUUACAGUAGGAACACCAUAAUGAAAGUGAGGUGCAGCUGUGGGUAACUUUUCGUUUAUGGUUUAUAUAGACUUAACGCUACUACAAGAACUGUUAUUUUAUGUUGAUUCUGGCAGCCAAUCUGGAAAACUAAGUAAACUUGUUUUGAGGCCACACCAGUAGACUACAGAGCAGCUUCGUUUCUUAGAGUUUGUGACUCCUAAAUUCAUCCACAGCACUCCGCCAUCAAAAAACAGUUUAAAUUUUAUGCCGUAUUCAACCCAAGUUAGUUGGGAUCCAACCUGGUGACAGACAUGAAAAAUAACUUUUAUAACUAUACAGGAAAGGUCUGUCUUCUCGCUUAUGGUCUUGUUUGCUUCUGUAGGUCUUCAGAGGCAUCCAUAUAAAAUGGAUCCUGUUUUAUAUUCAGUUAAAGAAAUCUAACUAAUUUAAAUUACUUAAAGUUUUCUGACCGCAAAUUACAUUUUUAUCAUAAAUCUAUUAGAUUCACAUCCACCUACAAAAAAUAGGGCAAAGUAUCGCCAUUCCUUUGUUUUCAGGGAUGGAUGUCUUAAUGUGCUCAAACACAAAGAAGCAAUUCAAAAACAAAUAAAUAACUAAAACUCCAUCAAAAGACCAAACUGAGUUCUAGGUUCUUCACAUCUCGUGAGUACAUUUAUCUGGAUAGUAACCCCUGCCCCCUCUCUGCACUGCUCCAGUAAACAAAGCAAGAGAAAAUAAAUAAGAAAUCAUGAAAGAGUAGUGAAAGACAUGGCUGCUGUCAUGUGUUAACAGGUUGAAUUAAAUUAAAUCAGUCUUUCACAGUAACAGCAAGACUGAAACUGAAAACCAUGUUUACAGCAGUCAACAUUAGGUGGCAGGCCUCAACAAGGACCCUCUCAUUAGUCAGAGAUAUACACACACAAUCUCUUUCAACUUACUGCAUUUUCACAAUGGAGCUUUAAAUAAGGGCUCUUAAUACACACUUAUUUCUCAAGUACGCCGUGGGAUGUUCGUAAGAAAAACUCAAGAGGGGAAGCAAAAGACGUUGAAGUGCAGACUAAAUGUGUCUGUAACUUUUCAGCAAAGACUCGGCUGAGGCUUUGACUGAUAAAGCACUUGACCUAUAACUGCAUUCAAGAUUGAACAAACAAGCUAUAACCUGUUUGUUAGUGAACUUAAGAGGUGGUGUGCUGAUUUUACUCUUGGAGAGAGCCAGACCAGCUGUUUACCAACUUCCACUCUUAAUGAUAAGCUGACCAUCUCAGGGAUCAACCAAUUACCAACCUGACUGACACAUCCAAUAUUCCGCAUUUUCAGAUUAUUCCAAUUGUUUUAGCGGAUUGAUGAUAAAAUACAUUCAUUUAAAAAUGUGCCACUUUGGCUCUGAUGCAGCCGCCUCUGUCUGUGGUCCCACUCUUGAUGACAAGUUGACCAUCUGCUGGCUACAAUU